rnacentral:sRNA from 1 species
AGAAAGGAUAAAAAGCUACGGUGAUGG